AUUGGACGCUGGCGGCAGGCUUAACACAUGCAAGUCGAGCGGAGAUGAGGUGCUUGCACCUUAUCUUAGCGGCGGACGGGUGAGUAAUGCUUAGGAAUCUGCCUAUUAGUGGGGGACAACAUUCCGAAAGGAAUGCUAAUACCGCAUACGUCCUACGGGAGAAAGCAGGGGAUCUUCGGACCUUGCGCUAAUAGAUGAGCCUAAGUCGGAUUAGCUAGUUGGUGGGGUAAAGGCCUACCAAGGCGACGAUCUGUAGCGGGUCUGAGAGGAUGAUCCGCCCAACUGGGACUGAGACACGGCCCAGACUCCUACGGGAGGCAGCAGUGGGGAAUAUUGGACAAUGGGGGGAACCCUGAUCCAGCCAUGCCGCGUGUGUGAAGAAGGCCUUAUGGUUGUAAAGCACUUUAAGCGAGGAGGAGGCUACUGAGACUAAUACUCUUGGAUAGUGGACGUUACUCGCAGAAUAAGCACCGGCUAACUCUGUGCCAGCCGCCGCGGUAAUAC
rnacentral:rRNA from 1 species